AGUGAACGCUGGCGGCAGGCCUAAUACAUGCAAGUCGAACGGCAGCACAGCAGAGCUUGCUCUGUGGGUGGCGAGUGGCGGACGGGUGAGGAAUACAUGGGAAUCUGCCCAGUCGUGGGGGAUAACGUAGGGAAACUUACGCUAAUACCGCAUGCGCCCUUCGGGGGAAAGCCGGGGACCUUCGGGCCUGGCGCGAUUGGAUGAGCCCAUGUCGGAUUAGCUAGUUGGCGGGGUAAUGGCCCACCAAGGCGACGAUCCGUAGCUGGUCUGAGAGGAUGAUCAGCCACACUGGGACUGAGACACGGCCCAGACUCCUACGGGAGGCAGCAGUUAGGAAUAUUGGACAAUGGGGGAAACCCUGAUCCAGCCAUGCCGCGUGUGUGAUGAAGGCCUUAGGGUUGUAAAGCACUUUCGUUGGGGAUGAUAAUGACCGUACCCAAAGAAGAAGCCACGGCUAAAUUCGUG
rnacentral:rRNA from 1 species